rnacentral:rRNA from 1 species
GAUGAACGCUGGCGGCGUGCCUAAUACAUGCAAGUCGAGCGAACAGACGAGGAGCUUGCUCCUCUGACGUUAGCGGCGGACGGGUGAUUAACACGUGGAUAACCUACCUAUAAGACUGGGAUAACUUCGGGAAACCGGAGCUAAUACCGGAUAAUAUAUUGAACCGCAUGGUUCAAUAGUGAAAGACGGUUUUGCUGUCACUUAUAGAUGGAUCCGCGCCGCAUUAGUUAGUUGGUAAGGUAACGGCUUACCAAGGCAACGAUGCGUAGCCGACCUGAGAGGGUGAUCGGACACACUGGAACUGAGACACGGUCCAGACUCCUACGGGAGGCAGCAGUAGGGAAUCUUCCGCAAUGGGCGAAAGCUUGACGGAGCAACGCCGCGUGAGUGAUGAAGGUCUUCGGAUCGUAAAACUCUGUUAUUAGGGAAGAACAAAUGUGUAAGUAACUAUGCACGUCUUGACGGUACCUAAACAGAAAGCCACGGCUAACUACGUG